GGCGAGUUGGAAAAGAUGGUUAAUUCGUCAGCCUCAUAAGCUGAAGAUCGCGGGUUCAAGUCCCGCACUCGCUC
rnacentral:tRNA from 1 species